GCCUCCCCUCCCUCGGCCCGCGGCCCGCCAGAUGUCGCCAGCCUACUUCUCCUGGCCGCAGGCCGCCGCGGCGGGGCAGGUAGAGGGCCACGCCAGCACACCUGUCAGGAUGCGGGCUCCGCUAGCCACCAUGCUUCACCCUUGAUGCCGUACGGUGGCCUCAGCGUGCCAGAAACAGCCAACGCGUUCUCUAGCGCGCUGCCUGCAGGGGGCGUCUGGGCAUUGUCGGUUUUAGGGGCCUUGUCGGUUCUGCGGGGCGAGCGCCUUCGCGGAAAACUCCAAAGUACCCUCUGUGGAGCCUUGUUGAGUAUCUUCAAACCUUCAGAGGGACCUUUUAUCAGCGACCCAUGCCGCAGUUUACAGAAGAACGCUUUGUGCGUGCUUUGGGACGAGUCUUUGGAAAUGAUGGUUCUGACUCUGAGUUGGAAACUGGAACGCACACAACAGAUGGGAGGCGUUGAAGGAAACAGAAAGGUCGGCCUGAGGGGAGAGGCGUUUCAGGAGGCUUGCGGAUGUGUGAAGUGUGCGCACUGUGCUUGGGGCGAGCCCAAGCAGUAACCCCACCCGAGUGAAGCGUUCUUGGGGGGAUCGGCUCCGGGUGGGCGACGUUCCCCGCGUGCCCCCUUCCCCCGAGAGCACUUUGUAGACACUGACUCCAAAAGCGGGUCUGGUCUCUGCCCAGCCCCACUUUGGCUGGCGUGCUUAGGUGCCUCUCGGGAAGCUGGAGACCACCCUCCCCCAUUCCAGCAAACGCUCCAUUGAGGAACCUACUGCGUGCCAGGUCCUGGGGAGCUUAGCGUCUGAUGAAGGAUACAACAACAAAAGACUGGAAAUUCAGAAGCAUGAGGGGACCUCCCCCCUCGAGGGAGAACCAGAGAUGGCUUCACAGAGCAGACGUUUGAACUGGGCCUUGGAGGAUGGAUGAGUGGAAUUUGGCCCAGUGGAGAAAGUCAUAGCAGCAGGAGAUAAGAUUGUAAGGGUCAGGUGGUGGGGCUGGAUAAUGCGAAUCUUGACUGUCAGACACAGACACCUGCCAUCUAAUUAGUACGCGAGGGAUAAAUUUUGGACUCCGCAGGAUAAGGACAAGGCUACACAAUGGCUUAGAACAGUUAAUCGGGCAACAGUUGGAAAGGGCCUUUGCCUCAAAAUUAUGUUUGCCCUGUCUUGUGUGAAUGCCUAUUCAGAUGCAUUAUUUGAAAAAUAAAUAAACCAGGCAGGCAUCCAGCGUGUUCAUAAGCAUAAAUAAUUAAUUUCAGAUUAGAAUGGAGAGGUUAUUCUCCUGCGGUAAAACCUGAACAAGAAGGAAAAGACUGAAAUUAAACACACAAUUGGGGCACACCAGACUCAGAAAAUCCCAGGCUAACGGGAAAACUGAGGUCUGGAGCUGAGCCCAGUCUGCUUCUUUUAUGCUGCUGCAGGCCACAGCACAGUCCUCUGCCCCUCCAGCUCUUAGUUCCUUGUCAGAAACCCCCAGGCCCUUCAUUGGCUCUUCUUGGGCAUAUGAAUGUUGGGGAUGAAAACCCUCUAUUUUUGGAUACCAGAUCCAUCUUAAAGUUAGCCCUUCAUUUCUGUCCUCAUCCACCCAUUCCUGCAUUCCAUACCUCCAACCACUAGGUCAGCUGCCAGAUAUCCUCCAACCCAGCUGUGAUCAUGUCAUCCCGCAGCUUAAAAAUCUCCAAUGGUUCCCCCUUGGUUCCCUCUUGGUUCCCCCAGUAAAUCCAAACUCCUUAACUCGGUGCACGGGGCUGUCCUGUCCUGGCCCUUUUGCCAGUCUGUCCACCUCAACCCCAACUAUAUUCUGUGCUUUAGCCAUAUGCAGUCUCAGUGUUUUGCAAAUCCUGUGUUCCUUAAGCCUGUUUCCCCCUUUCACCACUGAUACAUGUUAGCCCUUCACCAAAUAGCCCUUCAAGGUCCUUUUGCCUCCUCUCCCUCCUAGAAGGCUUCCCUGAUCAUCUCAGGCAAAAUUGACUGUCCUUGCCCCUGCCUUCCCAUGCCCCAAAGUUUGGGGCGCUUCUGACAUCCUGUCCUAUGUUGUAGUCACUCAUGACAGUGUGAUCUUUCCCACCGCCAG
rnacentral:lncRNA from 1 species